AUUGAACGCUGGCGGCAGGCCUAACACAUGCAAGUCGAACGGUAACAGGAAGAAGCUUGCUUCUUUGCUGACGAGUGGCGGACGGGUGAGUAAUGUCUGGGAAACUGCCUGAUGGAGGGGGAUAACUACUGGAAACGGUAGCUAAUACCGCAUAACGUCGCAAGACCAAAGAGGGGGACCUUCGGGCCUCUUGCCAUCGGAUUUGCCCAGAUGGGAUUAGUUAGUAGGUGGGGUAACGGCUUACCUAGGCGACGAUCCCUAGCUGGUCUGAGAGGGUGACCAGCCACACUGGAACUGAGACACGGUCCAGACUCCUACGGGAGGCAGCAGUGGGGAAUAUUGCACAAUGGGCGCAAGCCUGAUGCAGCCAUGCCGCGUGUAUGAAGAAGGCCUUCGGGUUGUAAAGUACUUUCAGCGGGGAGGAAGGGAGUAAAGUUAAUACCUUUGCUCAUUGACGUUACCCGCAGAAGAAGCACCGGCUAACUCCGUG
rnacentral:rRNA from 1 species